rnacentral:tRNA from 2 species
AGAAUCAUAAUAAAAAAGCUUCUAACUUUAAAUAAAAACAUUAAUAUGUUUAUGAUUCUU